AUUGAACGCUAGCGGGAUGCUUUACACAUGCAAGUCGAACGGCAGCGCGGACUUCGGUCUGGCGGCGAGUGGCGAACGGGUGAGUAAUGUAUCGGAACGUGCCCAGUAGCGGGGGAUAACUACGCGAAAGCGUAGCUAAUACCGCAUACGCCCUACGGGGGAAAGCAGGGGAUCGUAAGACCUUGCACUAUUGGAGCGGCCGAUAUCGGAUUAGCUAGUUGGUGAGGUAACGGCUCACCAAGGCGACGAUCCGUAGCUGGUUUGAGAGGACGACCAGCCACACUGGGACUGAGACACGGCCCAGACUCCUACGGGAGGCAGCAGUGGGGAAUUUUGGACAAUGGGGGCAACCCUGAUCCAGCCAUCCCGCGUGUGCGAUGAAGGCCUUCGGGUUGUAAAGCACUUUCGGCAGGAAAGAAACGUCGCGGGCUAAUACCCCGUGGAACUGACGGUACCUGCAGAAUAAGCACCGGCUAACUACGUG
rnacentral:rRNA from 1 species